rnacentral:tRNA from 1 species
AUUUAUAUAAUUUAAUUUUAAAAUAAUACAUUUUCAUUGUAAAAAUAAAACUACUAUUUUUUAUAAAUA